rnacentral:rRNA from 1 species
AUUGAACGCUGGCGGCAUGCUUUACACAUGCAAGUCGAACGGUAACAGGCCGCAAGGUGUUGACGAGUGGCGAACGGGUGAGUAAUGUAUCGGAACGUGCCCAGUCGUGGGGGAUAACGCAGCGAAAGCUGCGCUGAUACCGCAUACGAUCUAUGGAUGAAAGCGGGGGACCGUAAGGCCUCGCGCGAUUGGAGCGGCCGAUAUCAGAUUAGGUAGUUGGUGAGGUAAAGGCUCACCAAGCCGACGAUCUGUAGCUGGUCUGAGAGGACGACCAGCCACACUGGGACUGAGACACGGCCCAGACUCCUACGGGAGGCAGCAGUGGGGAAUUUUGGACAAUGGGCGCAAGCCUGAUCCAGCAAUGCCGCGUGCAGGAUGAAGGCCUCGG